GGGAUUCUCGCAGGAGCCACAGCUAACAAGGCUUCUCAUAACAGGACCCGGGCCCUGCAAAGCCACAGCUCCCCAGAGGGCAAGGAGGAACCUGAACCCCUAUCCCCGGAGCUGGAAUACAUUCCCAGAAAGAGGGGCAAGAACCCCAUGAAAGCUGUGGGACUGGCCUGCUCCAACCAUCUCAGCUCCUUCAUGAUUGUUUCAUCAUCAUCACCAUCGUCACUGUCAUCAUCAUCAUCAUCAUCACCAGUGAUUUCCUGAAUGCCAACCAAGCACCAGUCAUCAAGCAUGAGCCACAGUGCAAAGAUGGAGGCAGGCUCUCCAUUCUAAGGGAACCUCUCAGGCCAGUAGGGAAGGCAAGAUUCAGACACCAGGGACAGGCAGCCUGGGAUGACAGGUGGAACAAGGAGGAGACACAAGAACCCCCACCCCAACCCAGGAACCCACAUCACAGGCCAGACCUGCAUGAUCG
rnacentral:sRNA from 1 species